rnacentral:lncRNA from 1 species
ACAUUUUAGCAGAGUUCAUGCCUUUCCCACAACUCUAAUCUUGUAGCCCUUCAUUAAUCUUACAAAGGCGGUUUUCAGUCCCUGAGCAAGGAGGGGUUUAUUUUUGGGAGGGACUAUUAUCAUCCUUUAUUUCAGGUUAAACUAUAAACUAGAUUCCUGCCAAAGUUGGCUUGGUCUACGUCCAGGAAUGACAAGGACAGCUGGGAGGGCAGAAGCAAGAUGGAGUCAAUUAUGUCCAAUUUAUCUUACUGUCAUAAUUUUUCAAAGGCAGUUUCAAGGUUACUAUUCUCAUGAUUCAACACAUCCUCAAGGAGUGAGAUUCAGUCUGUGUAAGUGUAUCAUGACUUUCUAUAACACGCCUUGUCAUGCACUCUUCUACCCUGCUAGAAUUGGAGUCUGGCCUCAGCUGGUUCCUACCAGCAGUACUGCCAUCACCUCAUCCUCAUCUGCCCCAUCUGUUGUUUUGGAACCACUUGUGUCCUCUGAAAUGCAUAUGUUGAAGUCCUAACCACCUGUGCCUCAGAAUGGGACUAUGUUUGGAGAAAGGGUUUUAAAGAGGUACUUAAAGUUAAAUGAGAUCAUUACUGUGAACCCUGAUCCAAAUUGACUUAUGCCCUUAUAAGAAAAGGAAAUUUGGCCACUUACACUCACAGAGGAAGAAAUCAUUUGAAGACACAGAGAGAAGAGGGCCGAGGAGAGAGGUCUCAGAGAAACCAACCCAAUGACAUUUCGUCUUGGAUUUCCAGCCCCCAGAAUUACUGGAAAAUACAUUUUUCUUGUUUAGGCCACCCAAUCUGUACUACUUUGUUAUGGCAACCCUAGCAAACUAAUGCAGUCACCAACCCAGGGUGAAAAUGGGACAUUCCCAACUCUAGCUCUUAGGCCAAGCUUAUUUGUAAUAGAUUCUUGUUUUCAAAGGAUAUAGAUAUUGAGAUUCUCAAUGUAUUUGUUAAAAUACAUUGUUUCUUGUUAAAAGCAUAAGACUUUGAAAUGUCUCUGUGUUGCAGAUAUGUAGAUGUUCUGAGCCAUAAUUUUUGGAAAAUUCUUUCAAAGAAAAGGAAAUCUACUGGACAAAUAGCAUGAUUAAUGGGGAUCUAGUGACAAAAUAAUCUGCCCUAAUUGGAUUUGUGAUGUUUUUGCAACUUGAAAUUAGCUUCAAAAUCCAACAAUAAUACGAAAGAAUGUUCAGUAUCACGAAUCAAAUUAAAACCAUAAUUAAAUCACCUCCUUUCAUUAGGGUAGCUACUAUAAAAAAAAAGUAAAACAAAACAGAAAAUAGCAACUGUCGGCAAAGAUGUGGAGAAAUUGGAACCCUUGUGAAACCAUCCCACAGUGUUGACAAGAAUUGCAUGCUGGGUUCUGGACAGAAAUAGUUCCAAUUAAGUACUAAUCAGUCUGCACUUGGGCCCACUUACUCGUUGUUAAAAGUCAUGUAGCCCUGGAUGCUGACCAUGUACAUCUGCAUUGUUCCUAUAGAUAAGAUCUCUGACAUUAGAAUCAUAAGGCUUUUGUUUAAGGAUCACUUAUGAUGUUUUUCACACCCCAAAUUCCAGCAGCCAGUUUGAAGACUCCCACAGAGUAAUGGGAUCAAUAUGAGAAUACAGCUUCUUCAUCUCCCUAUCUCAUGACUUCACCCUCUACUCUUCCAACCAAUCAGUGAUCUCCACAUUGCAGCCCAUUCCAACACUCUUAAAAACCCCUACCCCCAAAUGCCUCAGGGAGACAGAUUUGAGGUUUCUUCUCAUCUCAUUUAGUGACCCUAUGAUUAAACCCCUUUCCUUGCUACAACCUGGUGUCUCAGCUUAUUAUUUGCUGUGUGCAUGGGGCAAUGAACCUAUUUCAGUUACACUUGUGCACUGUUGGCAAGAAGGUAAAAUGGUACAGCCACUAUGGAAAAUGGUAUGAAAGUUUCUCCAAAAAUUAAAAAUAGAAUUCUCAUGUAACCCAGCAGUCCCACUUCUGGGCAUAUAUAUCCAAAGGAAGUCAAAUUAGUAUCUCAAAGAGACCUUUGUACACCCGUGUUCAUAAUAGCA